rnacentral:rRNA from 1 species
GACGAACGCUGGCGGCGUGCCUAAUACAUGCAAGUAGAACGCUGAAGGAGGAGCUUGCUUCUCUUGAUGAGUUGCGAACGGGUGAGUAACGCGUAGGUAACCUGCCUUGUAGCGGGGGAUAACUAUUGGAAACGAUAGCUAAUACCGCAUAAGAGUAGAUGUUGCAUGACAUUUGCUUAAAAGGUGCAAUUGCAUCACUACCAGAUGGACCUGCGUUGUAUUAGCUAGGUGGUGAGGUAACGGCUCACCAAGGCGACGAUACAUAGCCGACCUGAGAGGGGGAUCGGCCACACUGGGAAUGAGACACGGCCCAGUCUCCUACGGGAGGGAGCAGGAGGGAAUCUUUGGCAAUGGACGGAAGUCUGACCGCGCAACGCCGCGGGAGUGAAGAAGGUUUUCGGAUCGUAAAGCUCGGUUGUAAGGGAAGAACGAGUGUGAGAGUGGAAAGUUCACACUGUGACGGUAUCUUACCAGAAAGCGACGGCUAACUACGUG